UAUUCCUUGAUUUCUUUGGGUCGAUUUUGACCCUUCAUCAUUAUUGUAUAUUUGGCACAACAUGCUCGUCUUCUAUAAAGCUCACACCAAAUCUUAAUCAUAAAGAGUGGGGAUGAGAGAGAGAAAAAAGAAGAAGAAGAAGAAGAAGAAGAAGAAGAAAAUGGGGCUGAAAAACUUCACUGCCAUUUUUCAAAAUCAGACAACCCGUUUCCUUUCAAAGGGUAGCCAAAAAGUCCCCAUACACACCCAUCAACGAGCUUCUUCUUUACCAAAAAAAAAAACUAAAAAAAUUAGAUCAUCAUUUUCAAACCACCUUCUAGCUAGAACUGGAAACAAAAAAACAAUACAGCCUCUAUCAUCAGCGCUGUCUCUUUUCGCCACCCUCGAGUUACUACUAUCUUGCCCCACGUUGACUCAAGGAACCAUAGCCGAUGCUUCCACAGUACCUUUAACCUGAGGUGUUCAUUACCGGAAUCAUAACCCAAGGCAGGCCAGGAGCCCACUUACAUCGUCCAUGUGCAUCUUCAGCGUGCUCGUUUUACAUUCUUGCCUCUGACCUCUCUGGACUUAGCUUUAUUCAAGCACUAGCCACUCAAAAAAAGAGUGAAGAUGAGGUACGGGAUAUCCAGUGGAGCUGUCUACAUCAUAAUCACUCAAGUACCGGUCCCUUGUUUGAACCAAGUAGAUAUCUCAAUUGAUGAGAAAGCAGACUAGUAAACAGCCAACAGUGGCAGUUCUCCUCCUGCAUUACACCGUGAUGAGUGCGAGACUCUUCAAAAUUAUCACACCGUGAUGAGUGCGAGACUCUUCAAAAUUGAUGAGAAAGCAGAGGAGUCACUGCUUCUGGAAUGAAUGUAACUCUGGAAUUAUUCCAAAUCCACAAGUUUCAUAAUGUUGUGUUGAUUGU